rnacentral:ncRNA from 1 species
GGGCUCGAUUCCGGAGAGGGAGCCUGAGAAACUUCUACCACAUCCAAGGAAGGCAGCAGGCGCGCAAAUUACCCAUUCCCGACGCGGGGAGGUAGUGACGAAAAAUAACAAUGCAGGACUCGUUCGAGGCCCUGUAAUUGGAAUGAGUACACUUUAAAAGCUUUAACGAGUAUCCAUUGGAGGGCAAGUCUGGUGCCAGCAGCCGCGGUAAUUCCAGCUCCAAAAGUAUAUAUUUAAGUUGUUGCGGUUAAAAAGCUCGUAGUUGGAUUUUGGGCGCAGGCGGCCGGUCCGUCGCAAGGCGUGUACUGGACGUCCUGGCCUUCCCUCCGGUUCUCCGCCGGUGCUCUUGACUGAGUGUCGGCGGCGGCCGGAACGUUUACUUUGAAAAAAUUAGAGUGUUCAAAGCAGGCUCUCGAGCCUGGAUAAUGGUGCAUGGAAUAAUGGAAUAGGACCUCGGUUCUAUUUUGUUGGUUUUCGGAGCGCGAGGUAAUGAUUAAGAGGGACAGACGGGGGCAUUCGUACUGUGCCGUUAGAGGUGAAAUUCUUGGAUCGGCGCAAGACGAACGACUGCGAAAGCAUUUGCCAAGAAUGUUUUCUUUAAUCAAGAGCGAAAGUCAGAGGUUCGAAGACGAUCAGAUACCGUCCUAGUUCUGACUAUAAACGAUGCCAACU